rnacentral:rRNA from 1 species
GCGAAUGGUGGAUGCCUUGACUGGUAAAGGCGAUGAAGGACGUACUAGACUGCGAUAAGCUACGGGGAGCUGUCAAGAAGCUUUGAUCCGUAGAUUUCCGAAUGGGGCAACCCAAUGUAUAGAGAUAUACAUUACCUAUAUAGGAGCGAACGAGGGGAAUUGAAACAUCUUAGUACCCUCAGGAAAAGAAAUCAAUAGAGAUUGCGUCAGUAGCGGCGAGCGAAAGCGCAAGAGGGCAAACCCAGUGCUUGCACUGGGGGUUGUAGGACUGCAAUGUGCAAGAGGUAAGUUUAGCAGAACAUUCUGGAAAGUAUAACCAUAGAGGGUGAUAGUCCCGUAUGCGAAAAACAAACCUUAGCUAGCAGUAUCCUGAGUAGGGCGGGACACGAGGAAUCCUGUCUGAAUCCGGGUCGACCACGAUCCAACCCUAAAUACUAAUACCAGAUCGAUAGUGCACAAGUACCGUGAGGGAAAGGUGAAAAGAACUGAGGUGAUCAGAGUGAAAUAGAACCUGAAACCAUUUGCUUACAAUCAUUCAGAGCCCUAUGUAGCAAUACAGGGUGAUGGACUGCCUUUUGCAUAAUGAGCCUGCGAGUUGUGGUGUCUGGCAAGGUUAAGCAAACGCGAAGCCGUAGCGAAAGCGAGUCUGAAUAGGGCGCUUAGUCAGAUGCUGCAGACCCGAAACGAAGUGAUCUAUCCAUGAGCAAGUUGAAGCUAGUGUAAGAACUAGUGGAGGACUGAACCCAUAGGCGUUGAAAAGCCCCGGGAUGACUUGUGGAUAGGGGUGAAAGGCCAAUCAAACUUCGUGAUAGCUGGUUCUCUCCGAAAUAUAUUUAGGUAUAGCGUUGUGUCGUAAUAUAAGGGGGUAGAGCACUGAAUGGGCUAGGGCAUACACCAAUGUACCAAACCCUAUCAAACUCCGAAUACCUUAUAUGUAAUCACAGCAGUCAGGCGGCGAGUGAUAAAAUCCGUCGUCAAGAGGGAAACAACCCAGACUACCAGCUAAGGUCCCUAAAUCUUACUUAAGUGGAAAACGAUGUGAAGUUACUUAAACAACCAGGAGGUUGGCUUAGAAGCAGCCAUCCUUUAAAGAAAGCGUAAUAGCUCACUGGUCUAGUGAUUUUGCGCGGAAAAUAUAACGGGGCUAAAGUAAGUACCGAAGCUGUAGACUUGCACACAACUUAGAUUAUUUAAGUUUAGAAUAUGAGAAACUAAGUUAUAUGUUUAGUUAUAUUUUUACUGAUUUUUAUAGAGUAAAGAUAGAAAUAAAACUUAGUAAAAUCAGUAAAAAUAUUCUUAGACUAAAGUUAAGUAGUUUAAGUUGUGUGCAAGUGGUAGGAGAGCGUUCUAUUUGCGUCGAAGGUAUACCGGUAAGGAGUGCUGGAGCGAAUAGAAGUGAGCAUGCAGGCAUGAGUAGCGAUAAUUAAUGUGAGAAUCAUUAACGCCGUAAACCCAAGGUUUCCUACGCGAUGCUCGUCAUCGUAGGGUUAGUCGGGUCCUAAGUCGAGUCCGAAAGGGGUAGACGAUGGCAAAUUGGUUAAUAUUCCAAUACCAACAUUAGUGUGCGAUGGAAGGACGCUUAGGGCUAAGGGGGCUAGCGGAUGGAAGUGCUAGUCUAAGGUCGUAGGAGGUUAUACAGGCAAAUCCGUAUAACAAUACUCCGAGAACUGAAAGGCUUUUUGAAGUCUUCGGAUGGAUAGAAGAACCCCUGAUGCCGUCGAGCCAAGAAAAGUUUCUAAGUUUAGCUAAUGUUGCCCGUACCGUAAACCGACACAGGUGGGUGGGAUGAGUAUUCUAAGGCGCGUGGAAGAACUCUCUUUAAGGAACUCUGCAAAAUAGCACCGUAUCU